CAUCUUGUUCCGGACAACCUUCCUCCAGUACGACCCGUCCUCGUUCGGCUGCACGACGGUGACGUCCCCGGUGUCGUCGUCGAACAGGCAGAGCGCGUCGCCGCCCCACUCGUCGUCGAUGAUCGCCACGCGGCGGUUCUCGAGCUCGUCUCUGCGAGGGCGCGUGAUAGGUCAGCGCGCGCGCGUACGCGUCGUGAUGCGAUUGGACAAUACGUGAUGACGUGUCAUAUCGUGUGGUGUUCGAGAGAAGAGACGCGCCGGCCGCCGCGAAAAGCGCGAAAAGUAAAGGAAGAAGAGAGGACUCACCUCGAGACGACCAUCCCGAGCGGCGCGAGCGUCGACGGAUCGUACUCGAUGAUCAUGCCGUUGUGCCCGCCCAUCACGGCGCCGUCCUUCAUGAACCACCACUUCACCGGGUCGCGCGAGGAGAAGUCGCCGUCGAUCUCGCCGCACGGCUCGUUCACGCGGCACCCGUC
rnacentral:lncRNA from 1 species